AUACGGAGGGAGCUAGCGUUGUUCGGAAUUACUGGGCGUAAAGCGCACGUAGGCGGCGAUUCAAGUCAGAGGUGAAAGCCCGGGGCUCAACCCCGGAACUGCCUUUGAAACUAGAUUGCUAGAAUCCUGGAGAGGUUAGUGGAAUUCCGAGUGUAGAGGUGAAAUUCGUAGAUAUUCGGAAGAACACCAGUGGCGAAGGCGACUAACUGGACAGGUAUUGACGCUGAGGUGCGAAAGCGUGGGGAGC
rnacentral:rRNA from 1 species